AAAAAAUCUGAUCCCAUUAUCAUGAUUUACGAAUCAUGAAAAUUAUAAAUUGCUCUUGGGACGAAAUCAUGAUUCAGACUCAUGAUUUUUGAAGCUGAGCUACCACUAUCAUGAUUCAGAGCAACCAUUUUCAUGAGCUCCAAAUCAUGACCAUGAAAAGCGUUACGCACACGGUGCACCUGUCAAAACGUGUUUAGCAAAGCUUGUGCAAAGCAUAGUUGGCAGCGCAUUCACGGAAAAGUUGCCCUUUUUUUUAAAAAAAAGUUCACUUUUAUUGCCGGUUUCCUGCGCCGCUGUUGCUCUACUGUCGUUCCUGCUCUACUAUUCCGUUCCUGCUCCGUUGAUAUCGAGCUAUUCCGGCACUGCAAAACUACCGCCGUUUCAUUCUGUUCCUUUCCUGCCGUGGCUGUUGCCCGUUCCGGCUCCUGUGUACCCGUUCCGGCUCCGCAUUGAGGGAAAAUUCUUCCGGCUCCGCUCUACUAACUACCGCCGUUUUAUUGUCCCAGUGCCACUGUCGCCAUUCCCGCCGCGGCUGUUGCCGUCCAAUAGGUGCAUCCGUUCCGGCUCCGCAUUGAGUGACCAGCUCCGCCCUACCAACUACCGGUAAGUGAUACAAAAUUAAUGUAUUUUUGCUCCUCUAAUCGAAAUCAAAUAUUGACCAUUUUUCACCGUCUUCUCUUCCGUAAUAAGUUCCCGAUUUGGUUGCCGUUCCGGACGUUUCGUUUUCAGCCUUGGCUGGUUCCGCCCAGUAGGUGUUCCCGUUCCGACUUUCCCCACAACUACCGAACGCAGGUGAUAUAGAAGGGAGGAUCGAGCGGCGACUGAACCAUCUCCGCGAAAAAUUUGGGGAAUCAUCGCUACAACCUCAAAUUGUCGCAGUGGGCACGAGCAACUCAACAAAAACAACGAUGGUUAUUUUUGGCGGCGCGGAGUAUAUCGCAGAUAAUAUUGUGCAUGCUGUAUGCAUUUGUAUGCAUAUCACUUAUGUGCUAAAUUUGCGAUAUACUCCGGACUGCAAACCGCUGUGGCUCUUUGUUCAGUCAUACCUGUUCAAAAUCCCGGCGUCCAUUAUUGAGCUCCCGAAGAGCACACGUGAUUUGCUAAAAGGUAUAGAUAAUUAAACUGGAAGAUCGUUUUCUUUUUCUUGAAAUAAU